rnacentral:rRNA from 1 species
AACGUAGGAGACAAACGUUAUCCGGAGUUACUGGGCGUAAAGGGCGUGUAGGCGGUAUGUUAAGUCUGGCGUGAAAGCUCUCGGCUAAACCGGGAGAGGUCGUUGGAUACUGGCAAACUAGAGGAUGGUAGAGGCGUGUGGAAUUCCGGGGUGUAAGUGGUGAAAUGCGCAGAUAUCAGGAGGAACACCGAUGCGGAAGGCAGGUCUCUGGGCAUUAACUGACGCUGAGGAGCGAAAAGCAUGGGGGAGCGAAACAGG